ensembl:lncRNA
GGAAGAUUUAUUUUUGGUCACAGCAGGGGGUGUCACCAUAUGCCCACCUCAUGACUGAGUUAGUCACUGCUCCUCAGUGCAAAUUCUCUAGAGGAGCGUAUCUGCAGAGUGAAAGGAGAUAGAUACAGUGCUUAUCUAUGGGCACUGUACUGCAGUGGAACUGAAAGAGGAAAACAUGGGAGCAGCGUUCAAAGUCCACUCGUUUAAAGCAUGAGGGAGAUGUAAACAGCGAGUUAAUACCGAUCCUUAUGACGAGUAAAGGCUGCUUCAGCAUUAUAUUCGUUUUCAUGGUAAUCACUGACAAUGUUUAAGACCUCUUGAGUGCAAGCUUGAAGUAACAAGCCCACAGUAUCCCUCUGAACUGAGGAGCUCAGCAGAAACCAUGAAGGCAAAUGGAAGGAGCUCUUCCACAGCUUGUGGUUAAACCCUGGGACUCAACGUGACAGAUGUCCAUGUUUAUGUCAAAAGUUUACAUAGCUGCAAAAGGUGAUUAGAUAAAUUUAUAUGAAAACAACCUACUAAUGCUACUAAACAAAAAGAUGCAUGCUUAUGGCUUAAGGAAUUGCCAGAACCAGCUCCCAUAACCAAACAUGUUUGCCCUGCUGCUCUCUGGCUGCUGGAUCAUUAGAGACAAGAUACUGGCCUGGAUAGACUUGCUGCUUGAUCCCAACCAGCUGUUCCUCUUUCCUGGUUACAGCUGAAACAGAGACGAUUUUCUUCAUAGUGCCUGGUAUGACGCUAUGCUUUUGCCUAAGGAGAAAAACAUUGCUAAGAACAAACUGAUGUUUUAGUUUUUUGCUGAGCAGCACUGUACAGAGCCAAAGACGUUGCAGUUUUUCAGCUUCUCACACUGUGCAGCCAGCAAGAGAGCUGGGGCUGGCACAAGGAACCGGGAGGGGGCAGAACCAGGACAGCUGACCUCAACUGGCCAAAGAGAUAUUCCAUAGCACAUGACAUCAUGUGAGGAAACUCAGGCUGGGGGGAGUUGGCCAGGGAGCUGCUGCUGCUCGGGGACUGACUGGGCAUCUGUCAGCAGGUGGUGAGCAGUUGGUUGUGCAUCACUUGUUUUGUAUAUAUGCGGUGAGAGAGUGAGCGGACGGCUGUGUGGUGUUCAGCUGCUACUGGGGUUAAACCACAACAGCCUCUCAACCAGGAAUCCUGCAGCUGCACCUCUCACUCACCGGCCUCUGGAUGUAGCCUCCCACCUGCAAUACCUGCUUCAGUGGAAGAUCUGUGUGAGGCAGAAUCUCUCAGGAACAGUAAUUUAUAGAAAAUAAAG